GAUCCUGGCUCAGGAUGAACGCUAGCGGCAGGCCUAACACAUGCAAGUCGAGGGGUAGAGGAAGCUUGCUUCCUUGAGACCGGCGCACGGGUGCGUAACGCGUAUGCAAUCUACCUUGUACAGGGGAAUAGCCCAGAGAAAUUUGGAUUAAUGCCCCAUGGUAUAUAGUUUUCGCAUGAUUACUAUAUUAAAGAUUUAUCGGUACAAGAUGAGCAUGCGUCCCAUUAGUUAGUUGGUGUGGUAACGGCACACCAAGACGAUGAUGGGUAGGGGUCCUGAGAGGGAGAUCCCCCACACUGGUACUGAGACACGGACCAGACUCCUACGGGAGGCAGCAGUGAGGAAUAUUGGGCAAUGGGCGAGAGCCUGACCCAGCCAUGCCGCGUGCAGGAAGACGGUCCUAUGGAUUGUAAACUGCUUUUAUACGGGAAGAAACACUCCUUCGUGAAGGAGCUUGACGGUACCGUAAGAAUAAGGAUCGGCUAACUCC
rnacentral:rRNA from 1 species